AUUUUCCCCCUUCCUGGGAACGGGAGCUGUGUGUCCCCUUUUCCAUCCCAUGGGAAUGUCUCCCAAUGCCACCGCCUUCCGAAUACGAUGGAGGGCAGCGUGGCGGCAUCACCCCGCAGCUCCCCCUGAACCCAUGGAGGGAUCUCGUCGGCCCCAUAGCACCUUCAGGCCCUACAGCUGCUUUCAGACCUCAUCUUUGGGGGGCAGAUCGUCCUUCUCUCAGUUCCUUCCUUUGCUCUCUGCAGUUUGGGCGCUGCGGGCAGAGGAGGCAUUGAGCACCGCUGCUUUCUGUGUGUGCCUCAUGAUGCUGUGAGCUGUGGGUCAGGAUGGGCCCUAUAGACCACAGAAUCGCGUGGUUGGGUUGAAAGGGACCCUAUAGGCCAUAGAACCAUGGAAUCACUGAGUGGUUGGGUUGAAAGGGACCCUAUAGAUCAUAAAACCAUGGGAUCACUGAGUGGUUGGGAUGGGAGGACCCUAUGGAUCAUA
rnacentral:lncRNA from 1 species